AUUGAACGCUGGCGGCAGGCCUAACACAUGCAAGUCGAACGAGUGGCGGACGGGUGGGUAAUGUCUGGGAAACUGCCCGAUGGAGGGGGCUAACUACUGGAAACGGUAGCUAAUACUGCUUACCAUCGGAUGUGCCCAGAUGGGUUUAGCUAGUAGGUGGGGUAAUGGCUAACCUAGGCGACGAUCCCUAGCUGGUCUGAGAGGCUGACCGGCCACACUGGAACUGAGACACGGUCCAGACUCCUACGGGAGGCAGCAGUGGGGAAUAUUGCGCAAUGGGCGCAAGUCUGAUGCAGCCAUGCCGCGUGUAUGAAGAAGGCCUUCGGGUUGUAAAGUACUUUCAGCGAGGAGGCGUUACUCGCAGAAGAAGCACCGGCUAACUCCGUGCCAGCAGCCGCGGUAAUUC
rnacentral:rRNA from 1 species